GCGUCGCUGGUUCAGUGGUAGAAUACUCGCCUGCCACGCGGGUGGCCCGGGUUCGAUUCCCGGCCGACGCA
rnacentral:tRNA from 1 species